rnacentral:lncRNA from 1 species
UUUUUUUUUUUUUUUUUUUUUUUUUAGAUUUUUUUUUUUAAUUUAUUCAUGAGAGACACCCAUAGAGGCAGAGACCUAGGCAGAGGGAGAAGCAGGCUUCCUGUGGGGAGUCCGAUGUGGGACUCAGUUCCAGGAACCCAGGAUCACAACCUGAGCCGAAAGGAGAUGUUCAACCACCGAGCCACCCAGGUGUCCCUUCAGUCACAAUUCUUAGUGAGGUUCCCCCCAUAACCCAAGGCCCAAGGAUGAGGCAGGCACAACCGUAGGAAUUUGUGUUUUGAUUUGUGGUUCAUCCUCCUCGGUCUCCAGCAGCUGUCUGAGCUGAGCCCUUCCUGUAUUAUAGACAAGAUUUAGAGAUGGGCUGGGAAUGUGCUUUUCUUUUCACUGAGCUGUCCAUAGAGCUGAUGCCUAUAUUGUGUUGUCUAUCAGUCAAGUCAAGACAUGCUGGUCCUCAGGCCAGUGCAGUGAGCACCCAGGAUUAGGUCCUGAAUCAUAUGACAUUUGCCAUUAGAUGUGAAACUGGGGAUUAAAACUCUUGGCUUAGAGCCUUAAUCCAUGUCCCACACCACAGAGUCACACAGUCAGUAGGGUGCUUAGAUUUCAGUCCAUUAAGAGAAUAGCCAUGUGAGGCUUGGCCGCAGUAUGUGAGCUGGAGGUCAGAGAGUCUUUGGGAGUAUUAACAGUAGCCCUUGGCUCCAAGUGCUUGGUCAUAGAAACCAAGCCGGAGGUGAAGCCUGCUGAGCAGGAGUCUUGGCUCGUAGAGCUUGCUUGCCUCCUGCAUGAGAUUGGGAGGCUGGUCCUUGGGGCUCACCCUGGGAUGAGACUAGAGCGCAACUUGGUGAGAUGACAUCUCUCCAGGAAGGCUGGGGAGACUGGGGCUGCAGGAGGCACUUUGGCUGCUGUUGGUUUGGGUUUGAUUGCUUCGUUGAUUUGUCUUAACUGUUUCUGUGGUGGGGCUAAUUCGUUACAAAUUCUGAGGUUCUCACGUCUUUUUCCAGCUCCCUAGAUAGUCACUGGUGUGGUUUGUGACCGUCGUGAGAUAUCUUCUCACCAAGUGGGUUGACAAAUGGGUGCCUUCCUGGGGGGCGUCACUGAGAGCAGGGACAGCUGAUCAUCCUGCGGCCCUUCCCCCAGCCUGAGCCUUUUGCAGUUUCCUGCUCUCUACCUCCCACCCACUGAACCCACCUCUAUGUGUUAUUUUAAGCCAGAACUCUAGAACGCAUCCCUCAAGCAGGAGGGGAAUGUGCAGUUGCUCAUCAGGAAUUUGUCCAGCUUCUGCUGGGCACCUUCAGUGCCAGGGUGUGCACAUGCACGUACACACACCCCAGGGAGCUGGCGGAGAGUCCUCUCUGGUCCUGGAUUUUCCUGAAGCCUGACAGCUCCUUGCCCCACCCUGGUGGCAUCCUACUCCUGGAAGCUUUCACUAGUCAGGGCUCACGUACUUCAAGAUAAAAAUUGUAUUUCCUUCCUGAGAUUUGCUUCCCCGAGUUAAACUGCCCCAGUUCUUUUCAGGGCAGUUUCAUGUUUUGUUUCAGGACAAGACGUGAAGAUUUUUUGUGGUGGUUUGUUCAUGUUGAUUCAUCAACGUGCAUUUCUGGGGGGUUAGAGUGGAGCAGCUACUCUGGAGGGCUGAGCUCUGGGGAUCCAAAAAGAACUGUGGUAAAACCUAAGUCUGUUGAAAGCUUGCUCUCACAGGGAAGGAAUACAGACAUGGUCUGGAAAUCUGGUAUGACCAGUGCGACACGAAGGAAGCCCAGUCUGAGGAGCGAGGUGGUGGAGGUUACAGGGGCAGCCUGAAGCACCCCUGAUAGGAAGAGGAAGCAGUGGUAUGUGUAAAGGUAGGCAUGGAAGGCUCAUCCUACUUCAGACUCAGGGCAUGUGUGGGAGCAAUGACAGGGCCAGGGUGCUGUUGGAAGGCUCUGUCUUGUCACCAUCCCAAUAAAAUAUGUCUCAGACAAUGCACCUCUGUUCUUUUAAGAGGACUCGGUCCAGUAUUUUCUUAGGAAGUGAUGUGGCAGGCUUUGGGUAGAGUUCUGUCGCCAGACAAAAAUAGACCCUGCUGCACUAGGAAGCCAGGUCCCAGGGACCAGAGAGGAAGCAUCCCGGCCAGUGGGGCACCUGGCAUGCCAGCUCCUUCCGGAGUGAGGUCUGCACUGACUUGCCUCUCCCUCACUCUUGAAAGGGAGCUGCCAGCAGGCGUGGGUAGGUGUGAAUACGUUCUCAAAUCAGACAUGUUUUGCAUGAAAAUAAGCUGGGAAGUAGGAGCAUAUGCAGUCAUGUUCAUUAAUAUGAGACCCAAAAUCUUUUGGUAGAUGGUGCCCCUGAGAGCCACUUCCUCAUGCGACACCAGGAACUGUUCUGUGCACCCUGGGGGCACUGCUCUCACUGGUCCCUUCUCUGCUUAUGUCCUCUGGCCAGCUUCUGGUUGCUUUGCAGCAUCCAGCUCAUUUAUCACCUGCUCCGUUCAAUCUUUACAAUUCCCACCCACUCAGCCCCGUGUCCUGGGUCGCUGGGCUCUCUCCCCACCUGCUGAACUCUGGAGAAUCCUAUUGUGCUUGUGUUGUGUCUCAUCAAAUACCAGCUCAACCUGUCUGUAGUUGGGUAGGGGUUCUUUUACCUAGAAAGGCGGUGCCAUGUGUCUUUUUAUCCUGACAUCGCUAAAUGUGUAGGGCAAAUUUUGUUGGGUCGCAUUUCCUAGUAUCACUUCAUUAGUAAUUUGUACCAAAACACUGGAACUGAGCCAGAAAAGCUAAGUCCUGUUCUCCUGUGUUUCAGGCUUCAAGCCAUAAGCAUCUUGGCCCUCCUUUCUGGUUUCAAGGAGGAAGAGGCAGGAUAUCUGGCCUCCCUCUGCCCAGAGCAUUUCCUCUCUAAUAUAAGUACUAUUGCUGGGGAUCCCUGGGUUGCCCAGCGGUUUAACGCCUGCUUUUGACUCAGGGCAUGAUCCUGGGGUCCUGGGAUCGAGUCCCACGUUGGGCUCCCUGCGUGGAGUCUGCUUCUCCCUCUGCCUGUGUUUCUCCCUCUCUGUCCCUCUCUCUCUCUCUCUCUCUCAUUAAUAAAUAAAAUCUUUUUUAAAAAAAGCACUAUUGCAGGACGCCUGUGUGGCCAAGUGGUUGAGCAUCUGCCUUUGGCCCGGGGCUUGAUCCUAGAGUCCCAGGAUCAAGUCCCACAUCAGGCUCCCUACACGGAACCUGCAUCUCCCUCUGCCUAUGUCUCUGCCUUUCUCUGUGUCUCUCAUGAAUAAAUAAAUAAAAUAUUUUUUUUACAAAAACACUAUUGCUCUGAUUUUCACUGCAGCAGUGCAGGUGGAUCGUAUCAAGCACAAAGUCAGCAAUUUCAAGUGUGGUUCAUUAUGUGCCACCUUUAUUAUUUCUUCUUGAAAGUAUAACGCAUUUGAAGUACUUCUUAAUGUGGUGACCAGUUGAUGGGUCAAAAGUAUUGACAAAACUAGACUUUUUACUUUGGUGAGAAGAAAAAAAAUUUUUACUAUAUUUUAUUUUUUAAUAAUCUCUGUGAGCAACGUGGGGCUUGAACUCAUAACCCUGAGAUCAAGAGUCACAUGCUCUACCUACUGAGCCAGCCAGAUGCCCCGAAAAAAAAAGUUUUAAGGUUUUAUUUAUUUAUUCAUGAGAGACACAGAGGCAGAGACACAAGGCAGAGGGAGAAGCAGGCUCCUCACAGGGAGCCCAAUGCGGUACUUAAUCCCAGGACCCUGGUACCACGCCCCGAGCCGAAAGCAUACACUCAACUGCUGAGCCACCCAGGCAUCCCACUUUAGUGAAAAUUUAAUGGAAGUUGUCUUUUGUUGCUAAGUCACAUAUUUCUGGAAUAACCCCAGGGAAUGUGUUAAUACAGGCCACCUUUACCAGUAAUGGGAACAGCCCACUUGGGGUGGAGGAUACCCCAAACCCUGACCCCACAGUCCAUGCUCUGAGAGACAAAAUUUACAGCAAAGCAAGUGUAUGACAGGGGGUGGGACUGGACAAAGCCCAAGGAAAAUGACAGGUGAGGACUGAGAUCCUUCCCAAAAGGUGGGCUAGAGCAGGCAGGGAGGUCUCCCCUGGAAUUUGGGCAUAGGUGGACCUUGGGCAUCCAGGGGAGAGCAGGAAACAGGCAUGCAGAAGGGAGCCCCAGAUCAGGCCAAAGGCAGCAAAUGAAAGCCAGGCUGGAGGUGCUGGUGCAUCUGCUGUGCCUCUGCUCUCCCAUGUUGCCACUCUGAGUGCACAUUGGGAUGGUGGGGGCCAGGUGGUGUUUCCAGAGCCACUGGAUUGGGUUCCAACUAAAUUUUUAGAUAGAUUGACCUUGAAACCCUGAGCCAGGCCACAUCGGGUUUCUGAAUGGCAGAGCAGCAUCCCAGCCCCAAGCCCCAUAGCCACAGCAGGAGUUGGGCUGGCCCUUGCCUCCCAGCCCAAGAUGGUUGCUGGAGCAUUUUAUCCCCAUGACCACACUGUAGCUGCCUCGAGGGCAUCUUGGAAAUAUGCUCCUCUAGCCGGGCAGCUGCAUGCCAGGCUCAAAACCAGGGUUUUGUUAUAAAAGCCAGAGGGGAGGGGAUCCCUGGGUGGCGCAGCGGUUUAGCGCCUGCCUUUGGCCCAGGGCGUGAUCCUGGAGACCCGGGAUCGAAUCCCACGUCAGGCUCCCAGUGCAUGGACCCUGUUUGUGUCUCUGCCCCCCGCCCCCCUUCUCUCUCUCUCUCUCUCAUAAAUAAAUAAAAAAUUAAAAAAAAAAAAA